AGCGAACGCUGGCGGCAGGCCUAACACAUGCAAGUCGAACGGCUCUUCGGAGCAGUGGCGGACGGGUGAGUAACGCGUGGGAACGUGCCCUCUGGUUCGGAACAACACAGGGAAACUUGUGCUAAUACCGGAUGUGCCCUUCGGGGGAAAGAUUUAUCGCCAUUGGAGCGGCCCGCGUUGGAUUAGGUAGUUGGUGGGGUAAAGGCCCACCAAGCCGACGAUCCAUAGCUGGUCUGAGAGGAUGAUCAGCCACACUGGGACUGAGACACGGCCCAGACUCCUACGGGAGGCAGCAGUGGGGAAUCUUGCGCAAUGGGCGAAAGCCUGACGCAGCCAUGCCGCGUGAAUGAUGAAGGUCUUAGGAUUGUAAAAUUCUUUCACCGGGGAAGAUAAUGACGGUACCCGGAGAAGAAGCCCCGGCUAACUUCGUGCCAGCCGCCGCUGUAAAAC
rnacentral:rRNA from 1 species